UAUCUCUCCGUACGGGGAAGGAUGAGAAGCUUCGAAUAAGGUUCGAUUCGAGCGAAAGCGAGAAAGCGUUGCCGCAGGCAACGACCCGAAGGGCGAAGCG
rnacentral:sRNA from 1 species